rnacentral:rRNA from 1 species
AACGCGAAGAACCUUACCCACCCUUGACAUACAGCGAAUCUAGCAGAGAUGUUGGAGUGCCUUCGGGAGCGCUGAUACAGGUGCAGCAUGGCUGUCGUCGGCUCGUGUCGUGAGAUGUUGGGUUAAGUCCCGUAACGAGCGCAACCCUUGUUCUUAGUUGCCAGCACGUAAUGGUGGGAACUCUAAGAAGACUGCUGGUUAUAAACCGGAGGAAGGUGGGGAUGACGUCAAGUCAGCAUGCCCCUUACACCCUGGGCUACACACGUGCUACAUUGGACGAGACAAUGAGAUGCAAAUCUGCAAAGACUAGCUAAUCUAUAAACUCGUUCUAAGUUCGGAUUGUAGGCUGCAACUCGCCUACAUGAAGGUGGAAUCGCUAGUAAUCGCUGGUCAGCUAUACAGUGGUGAAUUCGUUCCCGGGUCUUGUACACACCG